CCGGCACGGGUGAGUAACACGUAUCCAACCUGCCGUCUACUCUUGGACAGCCUUCUGAAAGGAAGAUUAAUACAAGAUGGCAUCAUGAGUCCGCAUGUUCACAUGAUUAAAGGUAUUCCGGUAGACGAUGGGGAUGCGUUCCAUUAGGCAGUUGGUGGGGUAACGGCCCACCAAACCUUCGAUGGAUAGGGGUUCUGAGAGGAAGGUCCCCCACAUUGGAACUGAGACACGGUCCAA
rnacentral:rRNA from 1 species